CUUAAAAGAAAUCUGCUCUCUUUCUCUCUGCCUGUCUUUCAGAGUUAUUUACACAAACACACAACCUCAAUAAGGAAUAAGUGAGAAAAUCGUCACAAAGGGUAGACUUAUGGUGUGUAACUAAUCUGUAUUGAAGCUUUCUAGUAGCUAAAGUGAUGAUCAGAACACAAUUUGUUACACAAUUCUGUACCUAAAGAAGAAAAAUAAACCAGUAGUUCCAGGAAGGCAUAGCUGAUGCUGGCACCAAAGAACUAUUUCUUCCAUGGGUCCUUCUAAAGAGGGCACAAUAUGAGAAAAUGAACAACAUCCUGAAAAAUAUCUACACGGCAAAUACAAUACGGUUUCAUAAGUCCACAGAUGAAUAAGACUAAAGCUAAGUGCAACACUUUUACCAAGGCAUGAUGCAGAUCACUUGUAUGAAGACUUAAUCAAUAGCUGCCAGUUACUGAGCUCCAUGGUUGCCUGGCUUAAUUUAGGACUAAAUUGGAAAGAGUAAACCUUCAGGCAGCUCUCAUUUAAUAAGCACAGAAAGCCAAGUUGCUGGAGAAAAUAUGCAGCAGUGUAAGCCUGAAACAUCUUACAGAAGAGUAUAGUUUUGGAAUGACCACUAUAUAUGACCUGAAGAACAGAAGAAUAAACUGUUGAAGUUCUGUGCUGAAAGUGAUGUAUGGAGACAUUUUGUACCAGUGGCUCAUGUUCACUGCAGGGAAGCCAGACUAGAUGACAACUGCAAGCUUUUAUUAUUACUGGACAACCAUUCUGUUCAUCCUUCAGCUGAAAUUCUCAUCAAAAUAAUGUUAAUGCCAUGUACUUUCACUCAAAUGUGAUUUCAUUAAUUCAGCCAUGUGACCAAGUUCUCUUAGAUCAAUGAAGUAAAUAUAAAAACACUUUCCUCAACGGUAGGCUAACAGCAGUGAACAGAGAAACAUGAGUGUGAAAGGUUUUCAAAAGGAGUUUGACGUGAAGGAUGCUUUAUAUGCUGUUGUCAAUGCCUGGAACACAGUGAUUAAAGACACAGUUGGACAUGCCUGGCACAAAUUCUGGCCUGGAACCAUAUUCAGUGAUGAUGACCAAGAUGGUAACUUUGAAGGAUUUCAUAUGUCAAGUGAGAAAAAAAAUGAUGUAUGACUUCCUUGCAUACGCAAAAAAAUAUACCUUCAGAUUUCAUCGGUAAACUGGGAGAAGCAAAUAUUGAGGAAGUGUUUCAUAUCAACAAUGAAGCUACAGUUGUUCAUUGACCAAUGGUGAAAGAGCUGAAAUGAUUCUGAAUCAAGGAGAUCGUGGUAAAUAGUGAUGAUAAAGUCUACAUUGUCAUCAGAAAAAGUGCCUGUAGAUGACAUGGUGAAAAUGUGUGAUGGGGCUUUUGAAGGACUAGGGCAGAAUGCAUUCAUAACAAAACAAGAAAUCGUGUCAGUGUAUAAAAUCUAAGAAAAGACUUCUAAGAUAAAGCCUUGUUAAUGAGGCAGAUGACUUUGGAGGAAAUAGUUUAAAAAAACCAUUCACUGGAAUGCCUUCUCAUCCCUAGGUAUUUAUUUCCUGAUCCCUCAACUGUUUCUGAUGUUUUUUUCUCACCUGAAAAAAUAAAAUACAAUGUACAAUAACCUUUUAUUCAAAACACACCAUCAUAGGUGGAGACUGAAAGCCUGUCAUUGUUGUUAGCAUUGUUUAACAGCUCAUACAGGUAUUUUGGUGAUGCUACUAGGCUGCUUAGUUACCCUGAACACAUUAUUUUUUCACUGUAUUAAUGGCAUGUCUUACUUUUUGCUGUUAAGUACUUAUGUGUGAAAAAGUAUGAAAAAUGAUCGCUUAUUGGUAGCAUAUCAAUUGAGAGUCAGCCAUGAUGGUGAUGUGAGAUAGUGACACUAUGAUUUCCGCUGG
rnacentral:lncRNA from 1 species